rnacentral:rRNA from 1 species
AAGGAUCAUUACCGAGUAUAGGGGUCCCCUCGUGGGGCCCCGAACUCCCACCCCAUGUUUAUGUACCUCUGUUGCCUCGGCGGGCCCGCCGGGGGCCCCUAGUGGGCCCCUAAGCAUCCGGCCUCAGCGCUGGACAGCGCCCGCCAGAGGACCAACCAAACCCUUUUUUUACCGGCAGUCUGAGUAAAAUAACAAAUAAGUUAAAACUUUCAACAACGGAUCUCUUGGUUCUGGCAUCGAUGAAGAACGCAGCGAAAUGCGAUAAGUAAUGUGAAUUGCAGAAUUCAGUGAAUCAUCGAAUCUUUGAACGCACAUUGCGCCCCCUGGUAUUCCGGAGGGCACACCUGUUCGAGCGUCAUUACACAAAUCAAGCCCUGCUUGGUGUUGGGUGAGGCCCUUUGGGGCCCGCCUCAAACCCCUCGGCGUCGCCGUCCGUCUUCGAGCGCAGCGAGAUAACUUUCCAGCGUUUUCGAGAUGGGCCACGUCCGCCGCAGAACACACCUUUUUUUCUAUCAAGGUUGACCUCGGAUCAGGUGGGGAUACCCGCUGAACUUAAGCAUAUCAAUAAGCGGAGGAAAAGAAACCAACAGGGAUUGCCUUAGUAACGGCGAGUGAAGCGGCAACAGCUCAAAUUUGAAAUCUGGUCCUUUCAGGUCCCGAGUUGUAAUUUGUAGAGGAUGCUUUGGUGUUGGCCGCGGUCUAAGUUCCUUGGAACAGGACGUCAUAGAGGGUGAGAAUCCCGUAUGUGACCGGCGGCCCUCCCCGUGUAAAGCUCCUUCGACGAGUCGAGUUGUUUGGGAAUGCAGCUCUAAAUGGGAGGUAUAUUUCUUCUAAAGCUAAAUACCGGCCAGAGACCGAUAGCGCACAAGUAGAGUGAUCGAAAAAUGAAAAGCACUUUGGAAAGAGAGUCAAACAGUACGUGAAAUUGUUGAAAGGGAAGCGCUUGCGACCAGACUUGCCCGCGGUUGUUCAACAGGUCCUUGGGCCUGUGCACUCUUCCGCGGUCAGGCCAGCAUCAGCUCGGGCGGUCGGAUAAAGGCUGCGGGAAUGUAGCUCCCCUCGGGGAGUGUUAUAGCCCGUGGUGUAAUGCGACCAGUCCGGGCUGAGGACCGCGCUUCGGCUAGGAUGCUGGCGUAAUGGUCGUAAGCGGCC